rnacentral:misc_RNA from 1 species
GAUGAAGAACGCAGCGAAAUGCGAUAAGUAAUGUGAAUUGCAGAAUUCAGUGAAUCAUCGAAUCUUUGAACGCACCUUGCGCCCUUUGGACAUUCCGAAGGGCAUGCCUGUUUGAGUAUCAUGAACACCUCAACUCUCACGGCUUGUCCGUGAUGAGCUUGGACUUUGGGGGUCUUGCCGGCCUGUGGUCGGCUCCUCUCAAAUGGAUCAGCUUGCCAGUGUUUGGUGGCAUCACAGGUGUGAUAACUAUCUGCGCUUGUGGUUUUCCAUCAUAUAACCUUCAGUGAUAUGGAGGUUCGCUGGAGCUCACAAAUGUCUCUCCUUAGUGAGGACAGCUCUUUGAACGUUUGAUCUCAAAUCAGGUAGGACUACCCGCUGAACUUAAGCAUAUCAAUAAGCGGAGGA